GGUUCCUGGGGAGAAAUUGAGCCUCUUCGCUUCUGCUGGGUCUAAAUCGAGCAGUGCCUUGGUUACCCGCUCCCGGGCUUUGUGAUUGGUUGGCUGUGGGGGGAGGGGGGCAGUAGGCUGCUGAUGGAGCUGCGGCAUCCCUUCGGCUGGGGCCCCGGGAGGGGGAAGGGAAAAGACCGAGCAGUGGAGGGAAGAGGGAGCCAUUUCUCUCCACUGGCUGCGACCUCCUCACAGCUCACAGCUCACAUUUGCCCGGAAUCCCGAGGCCUCCUCGGCCGAGGACUCCAUCAUGCUGGAUAUUUUCAUCCUGAUGUUCUUUGCCAUCAUAGGCCUGGUCAUUCUGUCCUACAUUAUCUAUCUGCUCUAGCUGCGGCGGGGAACCCUCAGAACAGCUCGGGGGGGAAGGAUGGAGCUGACCGGCCGAGCAUCCUGCUUUGCUGACGCACCGGUGGAUUUUUGCUUCUGGUCGUUAUUUCGGGUAUUGAUUCAAAAACCAAAUUGAAAGAGAUCUUGUUAGUUUUUUUGCGUCAGACGCAUUGAUAGAGCAUUUCUCAGACCACCCCGAAAAGAAUAAGAAAUGCCAACUUCUUCUUCUGAGACCUAAUUCGAACGAUUUUGAAAAUGAAAAAUAAGCCCCGCAGUACAAAGGAUUUUUAGAUAGAAUGGGUUGGGAGUGGUGUGCUUGGCGGGGGAGGGACUAUUAUUUUCCCAGUUUUUUUCUUCAAGUUCGGUGCUCCUAGUCCAAGUUGCCUUUCUUCUCCUGGUAAUUAAAGGUAAAACACAUCUUUAUAUGUCAGCAGAGCGGUUUGCAAUUAUGCUUCCAUAAUUGCAUUAAUUAAUUAGUGACUCGUUUUCCCUGGAAGGUGAAGCAGCUAAUGAAAUGUACUUGGGAGCGGGGUCUGGGGGAGAUGUCCAUUGUUUUCCAGCUGUGGGGUUUAGUGGCCAGGAGGGAGGAAUUCCUAAUUUGUUUCUUAGUCCGUAGCCAGUACUGGGCUGCUGGUAUCUUUGCUGUUCCCAUCUGAGCCUUGUUUCUGGGUUUCCCACAGCUCCUGGUCUCCACUCCAACCAGAGACCUCUUAGCAGCAGUCUUGCUGCCCAGCAGACCUCUUCCAGAACCUUCCGGAUAUGGCUAACCACUGUGGAGCAAGGGGCUUUUUGAGCCCAGAGGCAGAGGGGCACUCAGCCGGGACGUCAGGAAUUCGUGGGCAAGGCUGGCAGAUGCUGUGUGCGUUUGAGCUGUGGAUAGAAGGUGUUGAGGACACAGAGCUGAAAUGCAGACUCAUGAAAGUCACCACGGAGAACUGCGCACAUAUCCAUUUUGAUAGCCUCUCUCUAGGUGUAAAUGCAACUGCGUAUUAUGCUAAAAUAUGUUCUUUCCUUUCCCUCUCACACACUGGGGGGAUAGUUCAAGAGCACAUUGUCUACCCUCAUCUCUGAAGUAUUCAGUUUAUCGCUGUCUUUGCAGACAGCCUGAGGUGGUGUAGUAUCUAUCCCUUGUUUCACUCUUUAGCCAGAAGGAACUCGUCAUUUGAAUUUUUAAGAUUUAUCAUAUUUUUUCCACUCCAUACCACGUGAGCCCCAGCUUCUCAUUUAAAGAGAGAAAUGGUUAUAUAGUCAUUAUUCUUUGAGACUGUCUGAAUUAUAAAUUAUUGAAAUAGGGUAGCUAUAACUCAUCUUACUUGUUAUGUGGGAAAAAUCUCUCUCUUGCCCCAAAAUAAAUGUUUGUUUUUUUUUUUAUAUUGUCAAAUGUUCCUUUUCUGGAAAAAAGACUUUCAACAUAUUUCUUUGUCCAGUUAGGGUUGAAGAAACUAUAUAUUUUGGAACCCAGAGUAGACUUGGGCCCCAAAUCUGCGGUACCCAUUCCUUUGAAAAGUCCAUCAUGAUGAUUCUACACUGGAUUUUCCUUUCUAGCUUAAAAAUAAACAAGGAGACAGAUUAACUUAAUAGUUUUUAUUUAUAAUAUUGUGUUCAAUUUCCGUGUUUUAAAAAAGCAGUAAAAUGAGGCAAUACAAUAUAUGAUCCAAUAAAAAUGGAACACUUGCAUUUUAAGAUUCUGGCCAAGAAAAAUACACUACUCCAGGAGCAUUGUCUUGGCAACAAAUUAUGUGACCUUCAAGAAGUCAUUUAACGCUCAGGGCUUUUGUUUAUUCUGACAAAUGAAAGGGUUAGACUAGAAAAUUGUUAAUGGUAAAUUUUUUAUUUCAAAUUUAUUUUUUAUUUUAUUAUUAAAUUUUCAUUUAAAAUCUUCCCUUUCCGUUUUAAACUUCUUCAAUCCUGGGAUGCAUUAGCUUUGGAAACCACACCUUUGAGAGCAGAAUUCCUAUGGAACAAACAAGUUUGCUUUUCUGCUCUCUCUAAAUGACAUUUGAUGAUGAAAUCCAACUGGAAAACUCUCUCUCUUUUUUCUUUUUUGGACACGACCAGCUACAUUGUGAGAAGAGAAUGACAAUAUUUAUUUAGUCCAAACUUGUAUCAGUGAUAAUUCGCCUAAGCUGUUUAGGGAAUACUAACAGGUGCAAUACUAUAUGGUGGUAUGUGACCCAAGGAGGUGAUCUGACAGAUAAGCUAGUGUAGGAAGCAUACAUACAGUGAUGAGGCUGAUCUUCAGUUAUCCGGGGAGGCCUUGACAUGACCUUUCCCACUGAAACACUCCUCUGACUCUCUGGCAUAACUUCGUGUCUCACACUAAAAUUUUUUCUACUGUAAGGCAAGCGUCAGUGUUUUGGAGGGGGUCCAAGUUACACAGUGAAUUAUAGUGGUAUGAAUCUUCAAGGUUUAGUCUCUAACCAGGUUCACUCUGAAGUCUCUUAUGAGGCCCAGGCUCUUUAGCCUGUAUUCACGCAUAGUUGAAAUGGCUAAACAACUCAGUGAAAACAAUCAGCCAGUUUCAGUCCUAGCCCACUGAUACAUAUCACCGAUAUUGGGUGCAAUGUAAGCACAGAAAGAGUGUCCAUAUUGCUUGUGAAAUAUUAUGGUUUCAAAAAAUAAGUGAUUAUAUUUUGGAAGAAAUUUUAGGACUUUGUGCCUCUAUCCGUGCUAGAAAAUGCCAGCUUAUAAUAGAAUUUUACUGGGUUCAUCAUUUCAGUACGUUUUAAAUUUCAUAUUUAAACUAUUUGUAUAUUGGCCUCCUAAUACAUAAUAAAACACUGAAAAGAGUUACUUCUGUAAUAUAAAGGUUUUUAAAAAAUGUUUAUUUAUUUUUGAGAGAGAGAGCACCCAUGCAUACACAGGGAAGGAGCAGAGAGAGAGGGAGAGAGAGAAUCCCAAGCAGGCUCUGUGCUUUCAGUGUGGAGCCUGAUGCAGGGCUCAAACCCAUGAACCAUGAGAUCAUGACCUGAGCCAAAAUCAAGAGUCAGACGUUUAACUGAGCCACCCAGGCGCCCAUAUAAUAUAAAGUUUUGUAUACAUUUUAUAAAUCUGUCAUAGGCAAUCCUGUCCUAUAAAGUGGGUAUUACACUUGGUCCACAUCAAUGCAGUAAUAAAUCUAAAUAAUUGUAGAUUACUUAGAAAAUAGUUAAUGUGGCAUUACACUAAUUCCUGCUUUCUUGAUAAAAAAUAGAAAUUUGUAUGGGAAAGUGAUGUAUUUUAUUGCAGGAGGAAGAGGAUAUAUUUUGGGAAACAGUUAAAUAAUGGAAAAUUAUCAUAAAUACUACUAAGUUUUAAACCACCUAAGACUCAUUAUUCUGGGUGUACAGAAUCAUGUCCAAACUCUUUGAAUUUGAAACUUGGCAUGACAUAAUUUACUAAACUUCAGAAAAUUUGUUUGCUUUUAAGAGGCUUAAAAUUAGC
rnacentral:lncRNA from 1 species